CAAGAAAUGUGAAAUAAUACAUCCAGUGAUACCUGUCAAUGGUCUUUUCCUGUCUUUGGUGAGAAACAAACACAUCAUGUCUACAGGACAUCAACCAAAGAAUAGUUUGAAGCCUAUUUCCAGGAAGAGAAACACUGGAGGUGAGCUAUAGCAAUAAAGUGCCCAUGCUGAGGAACAGCAAAAUGAACUGAACAUAUAAAACAAGUUGUAAGGACAGGCCAAACGUCAGGUCUGUAUCUGAGAAUAGAGUUAAUAAUGGAAUGCGGACUCAGGACCCUUUGAGGUAUUUGCCAACUCUUGUAUAUAUGCGGUAUAAAUAUUACUUAUUCUGGAAGUUCUGACAGAUAAAUAUUUCUAUGGGUUGGAGUAAUCAGAGAUGGGUUAAAGAUUUAAUUGCUCCUACAAGACAUAUAUGGGGGACAGUAUAUUGAUAAUCUAUGUUAAAAUUUCAUGCAGAAUCUAAUUAAUACUGUAGGAGUUUGUGGGCAUAUGAGGAUUUAACAUUCUCAUUAUUUGUGAAUAACCCUGAAAGCUCAUAAUGAGUUGUGGUAAUGUGUGCAUCACAAAUUUGAAUCUCAUACCCUGUACCCAUGCCAUGGCAUUGGGAGGGAAAUUUAGCAGCUAUAUUCAAAGAGACAUUGUUUUCUACACGUUUUCAUAUAUGCAAUGAUAUAUGUAAUGAUUGGCCUACUUAAAUUCCUAGCCACAUUUUCCUGAAUUUUCACAAAGUGUUUGCUCUUACAGAAUUUGUGAAUUAGGGGAACAACAAAAGACUCAGUAUCUUGUUUGGAAGUAUCAAAUGCCUGUUAUUUCUUGAAAAUCUAAAGUGGAUUUCUGUGACAGAAGGGGAUAAAACUUAUGUUUUGCAAAGAAUAUAUUCAAAAUUCACCUCUAGUUUUGUUAUUUAUGGGAUUUCAAAUGGACACCAAAGUGGAAAGCUUAUAUAUGGGCCUAUGUGUGUGCGUAUUUGUGUGUAUGUA